UAGUGUUACAGCUCUUUUAGAAUUUGUCUAGCAGGUUUUCCAGUCCCCACUGGAAGACUCCA
rnacentral:snRNA from 1 species